AUUUAAGAAAUAACAGAGUAAUUUUGUGAUGUAUUUCAUUUACAGCAAGUGAAAAUUUAAGUUUAUGAAUGUUUGCAUUCACAGAAACUACAAUCUACACUGAGUUCAUCAUGCAUUGCUGAAAACAUGCACACAGAGAGGAAACAGCAAUGAUUUCACUCAGGCUAAAACAUCCCUCGACCAUUAAUUAUGUGCAGAAGGAAAUUCAUUUGCUGAUAUCUGAGGGAAAAUAGGCCAUCCUGGCUUUUGUGAUGAGACAACAGUCCCCUGUGUGGCAAUAAAAUACGGAUGUCCCAGUUAUAGUGAGAAAAGGCAGCAGUGAUGAAAGAGUAUGUGUCUGUGUAUACACUGUAUAUAGAUAUAUAUAUGACAAAAGUAAAUUAGGAAAACAGA